CCCUUAGAUGUUCGGGGCCGCACGCGCGCUACACUGAAGGACUCAGCGUGUCUCUCCCCCUAUCCCGAAAGGGAUGGGCAACCCGUUGAACCUCCUUCGUGCUAGGGAUUGGGGUUUGCAAUUAUCCCCCAUGAACGAGGAAUUCCCAGUAAGCGCGAGUCAUCAGCUCGCGUUGAUUACGUCCCUGCCCUUUGUACACACCGCCCGUCGCUACUACCGAUUGGAUGGUUUAGUGAGACCCUCGGAUCGGUCCCGACUCGGGGUGGGCUUCUGCCCCGGUCGUGGUUUCGCCGAGAAGACGGUCAAACUUGACUAUCUAGAGGAAGGUGAAGUCGUAACA
rnacentral:rRNA from 1 species